GCUUCCUUAGUAUAAUGGUUAUUAUUCUUGCCUUGUAACCAAGAGAUAAGUGUUCGAUUCACUUAGGAAGCUCA
rnacentral:tRNA from 1 species